GCCGGGCAUGGUGGCACGUGCCUGUAAUCUCAGCUACUUGGGAGGCUGAGGCAGGAGAAUUGCUUGAACUUGGGAGGCUGGGGUUGCAGUGAGCCAAGAUCGUGCCACUGCACUCCAGCCUCGGUGACAGAGUGAGACUCUGUCUCAA
rnacentral:SRP_RNA from 1 species